rnacentral:rRNA from 1 species
UUGUUCGCAAUGGGCGCAAGCCUGACGACGCAACGCCGCGUGGAGGAUGAAGGUCUUCGGAUUGUAAACUCCUGUUGCCCGGGACGAAAUGCUUCGACCUAAUACGUCGAAGUUUGACGGUACCGGGUGAGGAAGCCCCGGCUAACUCUGUGCCAGCAGCCGCGGUAAUACAGAGGGGGCAAGCGUUGUUCGGAAUUACUGGGCGUAAAGGGCGCGUAGGCGGCCAUUUAAGUCAGACGUGAAAUCCCCGGGCUCAACCCGGGAACUGCGUCUGAUACUGGAUGGCUUGAAUCCGGGAGAGGGAUGUGGAAUUCCAGGUGUAGCGGUGAAAUGCGUAGAUAUCUGGAGGAACAUCGGUGGCGAAGGCGGCAUCCUGGACCGGCAUUGACGCUGAGGCGCGAAAGCCAGGGGAGCAAACGG